UACGUAGGGGGCAAGCGUUAUCCGGAUUUACUGGGUGUAAAGGGAGCGUAGACGGCAAAGCAAGUCCGGAGUGAAAGCCCGGGGCCCAACCCCGGGACUGCUCUGGAAACUGUUAAGCUGGAGUGCGGGAGGGGCAGGCGGGAUUCCUGGUGUAGCGGUGAAAUGCGUAGAUAUCAGGAGGAACACCGGCGGCGAAGGCGGCCUGCUGGACCGUGACUGACGUUGAGGCUCGAAAGCGUGGGGAGCAAACAGG
rnacentral:rRNA from 1 species